rnacentral:rRNA from 1 species
GUGGGGAAUAUUGCACAAUGGGCGAAAGCCUGAUGCAGCAACGCCGCGUGAGUGAUGAAGGUCUUCGGAUUGUAAAGCUCUGUCUUUUGGGACGAUAAUGACGGUACCAAAGGAGGAAGCCACGGCUAACUACGUGCCAGCAGCCGCGGUAAUACGUAGGUGGCGAGCGUUGUCCGGAUUUACUGGGCGUAAAGGGUGCGUAGGCGGAUGUUUAAGUGAGAUGUGAAAUACCCGGGCUUAACUUGGGUGCUGCAU